rnacentral:tRNA from 1 species
GUACUCAUAGCUUAACAUAGAGCACCGGUCUUGUAAGCCGGAGGUUGGAGGUUAAAAUCCUCCUGAUUACU